rnacentral:rRNA from 1 species
GACGAACGCUGGCGGCGUGCUUAACACAUGCGAGUCGAACGCUGAAGCUUGGUGCUUGCACUGGGUGGAUGAGUGGCGAACGGGUGAGUAAUACGUGAGUAACCUGCCCUUGACUCUGGGAUAAGCCUGGGAAACUGGGUCUAAUACUGGAUACGACAUGUCACCGCAUGGUGGUGUGUGGAAAGGGUUUUACUGGUUUUGGAUGGGCUCACGGCCUAUCAGCUUGUUGGUGGGGUAAUGGCGCACCAAGGCGACGACGGGUAGCCGGCCUGGGGGGGGGACCGGCCACACUGGGACUGAGACAGGGCCCAGACUCCUACGGGAGGCAGCAGUGGGGAAUAUUGCACAAUGGGCGGAAGCCUGAUGCAGCGACGCCGCGUGAGGGAUGACGGCCUUCGGGUUGUAAACCUCUUUCAGCACGGAAGAAGCGAAAGUGACGGUACGUGCAGAAGAAGCGCCGGCUAACUACGUG